rnacentral:rRNA from 1 species
CAUUAAUAAUGCUCUCUGGCUUCGGUCAGCUGAGUUCAAUGAGUGCCUUCUCUUCGGAGUUGGCCAUCCACACACACCGUGAACUGUGGCUUCGGCCAUCACAAACUGUUAGUAAUGAAUGUAAUAUCAUAACAAAAACAAAACUUUUAACAACGGAUCUCUUGGCUCUCGCAUCGAUGAAGAACGCAGCGAAAUGCGAUAAGUAAUGUGAAUUGCAGAAUUCAGUGAAUCAUCGAAUCUUUGAACGCACCUUGCGCCCUUUGGUAUUCCGAAGGGCAUGCCUGUUUGAGUGUCAUGAAACCUCACCCCACUUGGGUUUUUGCCUGAGCGGUGGUGUAUUGGGUGUUGCCUUGCCAAAGGCUCGCCUUAAAAACAUAAGCACCUUGGAUGUAAUACGUUUCAUCCUUUCGGGUGGCUGAUAACCCCACAUAUUCAUGAUCUGGCCUCAA